rnacentral:rRNA from 1 species
UACGAAGGGUGCAAACGUUGCUCGGAAUUAUUGGGCGUAAAGCGCACGUAGGCGGCUUUGCAAGUCCCAUGUGAAAGCCCACGGCUCAACCGUGGAAGUGCAUGGGAAACUGCAGAGCUUGAGUACUUAAGAGGAUCGCGGAAUUCCCGGUGUAGAGGUGAAAUUCGUAGAUACCGGGAGGAACACCAGUGGCGAAGGCGGCGAUCUGGGAAGAUACUGACGCUGAGGUGCGAAAGCGUGGGGAGCAAACAGG